rnacentral:ncRNA from 2 species
UAAAAACACGGGAAUGAAGUUCUCCCAAAGUAUUUACUUAAACCGCAUUUUAUGCUGAUGACUUCUGUGAUUAU